GCCAGGCAUGGCAGCAUAUGCCUGUAAUCCCAGCUACUUGGGGGGCUGAGGUGGGAGGAUCACUCGAGCCUAGGAGUUGGAGUCUGCAGUGAGCAAUGAUGGUGCCACUGUACCCCAGCCUAGGCAUCAGAGUGAGACCUUAUCUCUU
ensembl:misc_RNA Metazoa_SRP Metazoan signal recognition particle RNA